UACGUAGGGGGCAAGCGUUGUCCGGAUUUAUUGGGCGUAAAGCGCGUGUAGGCGGCUUUGCAAGUCGGGUGUGAAAGCCCUCAGCUCAACUGAGGAAGUGCGCCCGAAACUGCAGAGCUUGAGUGCCGGAGAGGGUGGCGGAAUUCCCCAAGUAGAGGUGAAAUUCGUAGAUAUGGGGGAGGAACACCGGUGGCGAAGGCGGCCACCUGGACGGUAACUGACGCUGAGACGCGAAAGCGUGGGUAGCAAACAGG
rnacentral:rRNA from 1 species